GCUAAAAACUCGAUGAUCAAUCACAUAGUUUUCUUACCUUUGAUUUUUCUUUUCGGGGCUUAUUUUGUUCAUCAUGUUAAUCUUGGUGAUGUUCUCCAUGAUUUUUAAUUUGAUUUCGUUCCCAGGGAAGAUGAAUCAACAAUUUUUGGGAAUAAAAAUCAGAUUGCAGGUAUGAUUUUGUGAGUCCCUGAAGAAUCAAAUUUUAGUUUGUUGUUUGUAUCAACAGUUAUUAUUUUUACUUGCUUCUCUCCCUCUCCUAGUGAGCCAGUCGUGGGGAAUGGUGGCGUAAGGGAUUAAGUUUGCUUAUAAUGUUGUUGAAGGUAAUAAUAAUAUCAUUUGUUUUGUACUUCCAGCUUUGAACCUGGGUUUCUUAAAAACAAUAACUAGUUAAAGAAUUUAAAUUUGUGUAUUGGAGUUACUAUUUUUCUUCUUAUUUUUCUUCUAAAUAAGAAGAACCGUGAUCGGAAUCAUCAAAACCUCUUUUACUUCCAUCCAAUUUCCUUCUUACCGACUUUAGUCUUAUCUUUCACAACAAUCGUCAUUUGGUCAAGAAAUUUCAUUGAUCUCUCAAAAUUCACUGGGUAAAAUCAUAAAAGCCAUACAGGUUUGGAUCUUCAAUUUUUUUGGUUUCUUGGAGUUCUUUUUUGUUUGUCGUUAUUAAGAAUUUGAGGGGUUCAUUGUUAACUAAUUGUAACUUCGUGUUGAUGGGGUGAUUUUCAAUUGCAUAUUUACACAAUAUUAGAUUUACCAUCGAUGUCAUUUUUGAAGAGACAUACAAUUAUCUAGGGUUUAAUUAGCAGUUUAUGAUUUCGUGAUCGUAGCAGUAUUUUAGGUUCGUUUCUUUAAUGACUUGAAUUCAAUAGUGCAUGUCUUUUAAUAUCAAGUUUCGGUAGUUUGUUCUUCAAACUCUUUUCUUUCAAUAUAUUGUUAAUAUUUCUGAGUUCUUACCGCUUUGGUUGCAAUCCAAACCAUUUCAAAAUGGUUCAAAAAGUAACAAAGUUUCUUAGCUCCAUUGGACAUCAUUUUGCACCGAUCAGUCCUAUCAUGACCCCUUUGUAAGUUUUGAUCACCCAAUUUACAUAUUUUCGAUACAUGAUUUCCACGGAAUUUAUUCGCUUCAUUUUGUAAUUUCCAGCGUGUUGCGUCAUUUCUCGAUUUGGUGUUACACCCUUACAGGGUUGUUAAUGAAGUUAGUAUGGUUAUUUUAUUUAAGCACUUGAACCCAAUGUCGUUCAUUCAGUGCGAAGAAGGGAAACCACGAUAUAUACUCAUCUUGGGGUCAGCCAACCACGGUCUUUGUCCUUUUGUUCAUUCUUUGGAGGUUACAUCGUGCCGCUCAGUCAUGUAACUGUACUAUUAGGUUCGUAUUCAAGCAGUGGCAAUGAAGAGAAUUCGAUUCAACAAUGAGUCAUCAAGGAUGACAAUAUGUUGCCGACGAUUUGCAAGUAUGGUGGGUGUUUCACUAGCAAAGGCCGAAGGUCUCUUUGGAAUGAUUGGGAAAUCUUUACAUCGUUGUAGAGGGACCAUGGUGAAAAAAUUAAUAAAGAAUGGUGAAAACAAUUAAGCUGUCAACCCAACUUGGCAAUGCACGUUGAAUGAAAUUAGUUGAGGUCCAAGCAGCAGACGACACUGAUCCAACGUGUUUGAAACUAUUCCAAAUAGCAUAAACUCAGGUGUUUGCUGAACGUUGCAACAAACAUGGCAAAAGAAUUCCAUCAUGGGAAUGGACGCAUCGGUGAAUGCUAAUUAUUUGGUUGUGUUUACCUAAGUUUGUCAAUGAAUUCAACCGCACAACUCCUAGCUCUAUAGAGUUGAUCAUUUGUCCAUGAAAAAUUUAUUUUCAUUUCUUA